rnacentral:hammerhead_ribozyme from 1 species
GUGCUGGUGAAGAGUCCCAAACUAGGACGAAAUAGCUGUCCAGUAC